rnacentral:lncRNA from 10 species
AAAGUUAAUGUAUAAACACAUUUACAAAGCUUUAUGCAACUCCAAGAUAAAGUUAUUAUAUUAAACAUUAUAUUUAAAGAUGUAAGGUUUAUGGCAAGUUUAAGUCCCAUGAUUGAUGACAGAAACUGAAUCAGAGGCCUUAGAGAAAUAGAAUUUAAGACACACCUAUUCCUACCAAACCUUAUUUAAAUAAAGAAAACGGUACAGUAACAACCCAAGAAAUCAAUUUCCUUUCCAGGUUUCAUAAUUAAUCUUCAUUUGUAAAUCCUGUUUGUCCUCAGAUUUUCUCUUUACAGUUCCUAAAAACAUUCAAUUCACCAAAAAUGAAAAAUUAAUUUAGGAAGAAACUCUAACUUAAGAAAAAACUUGCAGCUCAAACAACAGGUGAAAGCACACAAAUAUAGAAACUGUUUUUGAAGAAGUUGGGGAUGUUAACCUUUUAGUUCAAGAUGGGGGGUUGUUCCAGAGUGAAGGAAGGUGAGAUGCCUCCCGUUCUCAUGAGCUAAUGAUUGUUUCCAAACUGGUUAGAAUUCAGUGCUAAUUGCAUUUUAAAACACCACCUCUGAAAUCCUUUUCUCUCUCAGGAUCUUGCAUCAAUGUUUCACAUUUUCAAUGCAACCUUUGCACUUCACCUUUCUCACUCAACAAAUUCUGAAUGUCAGAUCUACGGGAAGAACUCAGUUCAGAUCCUUCCUCUCCCCAGCAGGUUUUGAUCUGGUGAUGGUGAUGUCAAUUCCUAGGAAAGGCUGUCCUGCCCUGGUUCUGAGGGGAGAGAGACAAUUAAAAUCGGUACUUUGGUGACUCUACUCAGGCUUGUCCAUUCUAACAGGGAGUCAUUAAACAACUUUCCAGUGUCAUUCAAAGAACUUAUAACAGAAUCAAUUGAUUUUCAUCCUCUGCUUUAUUAGUUGUGAUUUAGGAAAUAGAAUGGCCCUGUUUACACAGCUGUAACAUGUCAGGGCCUGUAGUACAUUAUUGGCUUGAGGCCUCCGAGUUGCCGUCCAUUCUCAGCAGAAUCAAUCUGAACUUGAAAACAUUCCCUCUAGGAAACAUGCACAUAUCUACUAGCAUAAAGCACUUCUUGCACAACUGAAAACAGUAUUCACUUGAGGUAAGUUGCAAGUUCACCUUCCAAAAAUCAGCCCUGACUUGUCAUUGCUCUCAGCAUGUUCACGAUGGGAGCAGAGGGCUACAAAUGCCUCUUUAACUAGGUACCCAGCAUCGGCGAAUGUGCUACACUUUGCUGCUAGUCAGAUCUCAGACUCUGCAAGUGGGAGUAGCUGGCUGUUUAACAUGCGUUCAGAGCACUGCCAAUCUAAAAUGGCUGCUCAGUAAUACUUUAAUUGCAGUUUCAUGGAAACAAAUUGCUAUUUAACUGCAAUAAGCACUUCUGUGACUUGGCUGCACUAACAAUAGGUGAGUCUUAGUAACAAAGCUAUAAGUAACAUUAACUUGUAAAUGGCCUUUUUCCAAUGGCCUCUUGAAGGGGUCAUAGGUGGGACAGCACCCAGGAUAGAAUUCCCUGGUGAAGGGUGAAGGGGUCUUUGGGGUGAAGGGUGAUGGGGUUUUUGGAUCUCCUCAAUUUAAAUACAAUUAGUUAGGCUACAUGGGAACUCUUCACUAGACUCCAUAUGUAGCUCUUGGGUUCACUGUUUAUUAUAUGAUUUAUGGGCCCUAAGAAAUAUUUUAUAUAAAUAGUAGUGCACAUUAGAAUCUUACUAUAUUGACAUUUAAAGCCCUUUAAGAGCUUCCUUUUAGAUGAUUAGUUGUUUCAAAUAUCAGUGUUAAUAAGGGCAAAAGAAAGAAUUUAAAUACAGGUAAUAUUAAGAGGAUGACAAUUUCACAGACUUCAUUUUGGUGUGUCAGUUUUCUCGUUUUGUAUUUUAUAAGACACUACAGUCCGGGUUAAACUAUUUCCUAAUAAAUCAUGAAGAGCUGAAAAUAGUUUCUAGUGGCAAACGAUUUGGUUUGGAAAAGCUUCAGGCUCCCCUGCCUUGCGGGAUGUGUAAAUCUAAUUAGACAGUUAGAUAGGUAAAAAACAUUAAACCCUUUUAGAGGACUAUCUUUUUACAAAAUUGUUUCAUUAACAAGAGUGACAAUUUGCAUGAUUGAGACAUUUAUAUGUACCAUAAACAUAAUUUUUUUUAUCAGGAGUUCAGCAGGGCUCAGUAACAUUUGCUUUUAUUUUUAAUUGCACUUGCUUGUAGGGACUGGGGGCCAUCUUGCUCUAUGACGUGGUUAAUAUUAAAUAAGUCCUUUCUAAAGAACAGUGUCCAUCUUGCUAACUAAUAACAUCACAAAUGCAAUGGAUGAAAGGUGGAAUAAACUCAUAGAUUUUUUUUUUUCCUAAGCAAUGUUGAGAUUGGGGGAGGAACUGCACACAAUCGCUGCUCACAUCAGAAUAAACCUGAGUGUUUUUAGUAGCUUUCUAUCCACACAGAGCAUCCCCAUUAGAGCCGGGUUUUAUUGUUUGAAAUGCCUCUGGUUUCAAGAAAGUGUUUUACCUAAAGCAAGACUACUACUUAAAUAUGUUCUAUUGUAUAUUCAUAGCUCCAUUAGUCCUUCUCCAAUUUAGCACAUCAAAGAGAAGGCUUCAUCACUUGCAUGUGGAUUAUACUAACAUGAGUGACAUUUGUAAUCUUAUAGGUCUGCAACUUAAGAAAUGCUUUUAGAAGCUCAUUAUUAAAUACGCAGCAGUGCUUGAGGAACCAGCCAUAUAAUAGUUUAUUUAAAGUCCGUAAUGACCUUAGCCCUCCACAUCAUUAAAUGCGACAAUAUAUUAUUUACUAAAGUUAUUAACCACCUCCUUUGAAUUUGUACAUAUCAGGGACAUACAUUGUAUUUUACAGAGAUACAAUAAGUGUUUGUGAUAGAAUAUCA